rnacentral:hammerhead_ribozyme from 1 species
CCAGCUGACGAGUCCCAAGUAGGACGAAAUGCGCAUCCUGGAU